CACGUAGGGCGCAAGCGUUGUCCGGAAUUAUUGGGCGUAAAGAGCUCAUAGGUGGUUUGCUGCGUCCGCUGUGAAAACCCAAGGCUUAACCUUGGGCUUGCAGUGGAUACGGGCAGACUAGAGGUAGGUAGGGGAGAAUGGAAUUCCCGGUGUAGCGGUGAAAUGCGCAGAUAUCGGGAGGAACACCGGUGGCGAAGGCGGUUAGCUGGGCAGUUGCUGACACUGAGGCGCGACAGCGUGGGGAGCAAACAGG
rnacentral:rRNA from 1 species